AUGCGCCGCGCCGCCGUCGCCGUCACCGCCGCGCUCCUCCUCCUCCUCGUCGCCGGCGCAGCCGCGGGGUCCCCCGGCGCGGAGCCCACCUGCCCGCGGGGGCCCGGCCCGACGUUCCUCGACGCGCUCGGAUCGCGCUGCCCCCGCGCCGCCCGGAUCGUGCCCUCCCGGCCCCUCGAGGUGAGAGGAGAUGCUGUUGAUAAAGAGUUGAACCUUCGCUGUACUGGUGCCUCAUGUUCCAUUCUCUUCUAUGCCGCAUGGUGUCCUUUCUCGAGCAAAUUUCGACCAAUAUUUGAAGCUCUCAGCACCAUGUUCCCUCAGAUACAUCACUUUGUUGUCGAAGAAUCUUCUGCGACGCCUAGCUUGUUUUCAAGAUAUGGUGUCCGUGGCUUCCCAGCCAUUCUUCUGGCAAAUGAGACUACAAUGGUUCGUUACAGGGGUACAAAAGAUCUGAAGUCUCUGGUUCAGUUCUAUCGAGAGACUACAGGCCUCGAUCCAGUUACAUAUAUUGAUGUUGAUCAGCAAGAGAGCGCUGGAAGCUUAGGAUCAGUCAUGCCAGGAGGCCGGUCUCUGCGCAAAAUGGCGGAAGACGAGCCCUUUGUGUUUCUUGGAGCGCUUUUUAUAAUCAUGAAGGUCGCGGCACACUUCGUACCCACUGUCAUCUCUCAACUCAGAGCCUUCUUGAUCGUGCGUGUUCAGAACUUGAACUUAAGAAUUCGUAGGGGAUCAAGCCAACUUAUGGAACGGGCUUUGACUGUGCUUGAUGUUAAGAGGCUUUGGAGCAAGCUUAGACUGAGCAGUAAGACAAGGGACCUAAGUAAAGGGGCGAGUAAUGCUCGAGCUUGGGCUUCGUCAUUUGCGUCCGUCUCACUGGGUGAACCAUCCUCCUUACGGCAUGCCUAG
rnacentral:rRNA from 1 species